rnacentral:misc_RNA from 2 species
AAGGACUAUAUAUACUAAAAUCAUCAUCUUCAGUUUUGAAAGACUUAAGUAGAAAAUAAGUUUUUCUUUUAAGCGCCAAAGGGCCUAUAGCUCAGUUGGUUAGAGCACACGCCUGAUAAGCGUGAGGUCGGUGGUUCAAGUCCAUUUAGGCCCACCAAAAAAAGGUCCUGCUUAAAAAGUUCUUUGAAAA